rnacentral:ncRNA from 1 species
UAUGGCAGAGGACGGAAUGGGCGGCCGUCGCCCCUCACAAGAGGUUAGGAGAUGUGGGAGAUGUCACCCCACCUGUCUAA